AAAAAAAAAAACUUUUCCUUUUCUUUUUUUCUCUCAAAACCCUUAUCGUCCGGCCACAGGGCUGUUGUAGCUCCGUCACGGCCACCGGUCCUUGGCAACAACGAUCGUUGCCUUUGGUGGCCGAAGUUCACGAAAAGACUCCAUUUUUUACCCUUUCGACUCCCUUAACCUAGAUCCGAGGCUAAAUAACCCUGAAACCCCACCAAAAUUCCUAAAAAUCCUAGGGAACCCUUCAAUUUCGCUUCUCCGACAAAGCCAUCGACGAACCCCAAUGGGUUCGGAGACCCUUUCGAGUCGACGAGAAGCCUCCCACCACAGCGGUGAAAGAGGCAGCGACAACGGGUAAGAUUUUUAAACUUUUUUAUUAUUUUUUUAUAUUUUUUGAAAGAAAAAAAUAAAAUAACAAAACACAAUGAACUAUCUUUUUUAAUAACUUUUUUUUUGUAUUCUCCUCCUCCUUUGUAUUACAUAAUGGUUUCGACUUUAUAGCCGUAUAUUGCAACAUAUUUUCCUUCUUCUUUUUUAUCUUUCCUUCUCUGCCUCUGUUUUUCUAUCUCUAUUCUUUUUUCCAGGUGGUGGCGUGGCAGAGGGGCAGCACGCAUGCCGACGUGGCGAGGCUGCGGCGCUAAAGCUUUUUAGGGUUAUAGGGUUUUUUUGUUUAGGUUUUGGGCUUGGGCUAAGGUGUAUUGGGUAUUUAGGAUUUUCUUAGAUGGGUUAACAAAUGGGGUUGUGUGGGCCAUUUGGGUUUGUAAGUGACUCAUUAUUUGACGUGUUUAUUUGUUUUUUUAUGUUUGGGCCGCAUAAAAAUGGG
rnacentral:lncRNA from 1 species